rnacentral:rRNA from 1 species
ACAUCGGUGACAGGUGGUGCAUGGUUGUCGUCAGCUCGUGUCGUGAGAUGUUGGGUUAAGUCCCGCAACGAGCGCAACCCCUAUUGUUAGUUGCCAUCAUUCAGUUGGGCACUCUAGCGAGACUGCCGGUAAUAAACCGGAGGAAGGUGGGGAUGACGUCAAAUCAUCAUGCCCCUUAUGACCUGGGCUACACACGUGCUACAAUGGUUGGUACAACGAGUUGCGAGUCGGUGACGGCGAGCUAACCUCUUAAAGCCAAUCUCAGUUCGGAUUGUAGGCUGCAACUCGCCUACAUGAAGUCGGAAUCGCUAGUAAUCGCGGAUCAGCACGCCGCGGUGAAUACGUUCCCGGGCCUU